UUUCUUUCCUCUGGAGAUUCGAGAUGGGACUCCACCAGUGGCAUUUCAGGCAGAAUUGAGGGCGUGGAGAAGGUUCUGGAGAAAGAAGAGGGCAUGUUCUUGGUGGCUCUGGAAUCACUACAGACAGUUGGACAGCCCCCUGCAACAUGAAAUUAUCCAAGCCACAGUGUCAACACACGAAGGUUGAGAAACUCUGGUGCAGACAUACAAAAGCCAUUGCUUCAGGACUUGGCAAUGAGAUGUAAGGAGAAGUAUGUUGGGGGCUGCCCACCCUGAAAAUGAUACACAAAGCUUCAUGACCAUCCUUCUGCCCCUGACUCUUUCUCCCUUCUAAAGACGGAAGAGCAGGAUCUUGGCAGUGACAUUGUGACCAUGAGGACGCAAACAUGAGAAUGAGGAGAGCUGAGGAAGGCAGAGCAGAUAUGUGGGAGGACUCUGCACUCUUGUGAUGUCACGCUGCUGCUACACCAGCCUGGGAUCUCUUGGCUCCAUAUAUCUUGUUCAUAUGAGACAGGUGUCUUAAAGCCUAAGACAGAGUGAGCCAGGUGCUCUGUAACUGCAGCCAAGGGCUUUCCCAUUGAUGCAAGUAUCUUCCCCGUUGAGUGUCUCAUUUCCUCAGGAGGAAAUCAACAAAGGUUUCAUCCAGCCACAAUGAUGGACCAGCAAUUUUCUAGGCUCUCAGAAUACAAAAAUGAAUGGAAGCCAAUCUUUGAUCUCAUGGGAACUGAAAACAUAAGAGAGGAAACAGGCAAAAUAGUGGUAUUCAUAAAUGCUACGAGCACUCCGUGUCAGGCACUGCGCUAAGCACUUGACGCGGGAUAACUCAUUUGACCCCCACUGGUCACAGCUGGUGAAAGCAGCACCACCGGCAAUGGCUCUGCUUCCUGUCCACACCGACCCCCAUCCACGGUGAGUCUAGAGGCUGAACUUCAAGGAGUGAGACCUCUGAGGGUCGACAGUGGGCUGGAGUCCAAAACCCUGACUCUCUCGUCUUUAAUUGAAGUGUGCGGUCCUUAACUGCAAUGAGGGAAAAUUCUAGAAAAUUCAAGAAACUCCAGCUUAUGAAGACUUGAACCAAGCAUGCUAAAUUGGAUUCACGAGUUCCAGCUCCUCUGCCCAUUGGGAUGGGAAAACAUAUCUUGGCCUCCACAGUGUGCACGUGGCAGGAAGGGUUAUAAAUAAGUGUCCUCCCACCUCCCUGCUGCCCCUCACCCUCUGAAUGCUCAGUGUGUGGUUUCCUCUCCCGCUGAAAGCCUUGCCCAGCCUGAUGUGAAUCCUAAUUAAAAUUAUGCACAGCAUGACUUUCAAUUAGCCUAGACAGCGCCACAAAGGGCACCAAUAUCAAGCAGCGAAUGGUGCCAAGUGACUUUCCCCACAAGUGUCAGCUGUCCAGGAUGCCCCAGCUAUGCCCAUCCUGGGAAGAACCAUGGAGGAGUCAGGCUGGGCUCAGCCAACCUCAGUUUCCACUUGGGGCUGCCUCUUUGAGCCAAGAGACAACUACUUCCAUCAGGGGGUUGCAGACUUAUUUCGUGUAAACUAAAUGGGAUUUAAAACAGCUCCCAACGAGCUAAGACAGCUGGCCCCUAAAGGGCACGGCUGGAUUUUCUAUCUUGGGGCAAAUAAGCAG